CUGAGAAUGAAGAGAAGGGAGGGCCCAUAAGUUAAAAAACAAGGAGUUGGUAGAAAGAUUUGUGGUUAAUUGCUGACAAAUAGUACCCUAUAUAUUAUUCCACAUGCAGUUUUUGCAACUGUGUUGUAACUAAUUCUAAAAGCAAAAGCAAAAUGAAAAUUGAAAUUUAAAAAAGGUAUCUUUAUCAAACAUCAGAUAAUCCUUUUCUUGAAUGAAAGGUCUAUUACUGUGAAUGUCAACCCUGAUUUCUCCCUGUUUUUCUAUCAGACAAAAAUCCCAGUCAGUGUCAGCCUAACUGUAUGCAGUUCUCCUCCCGUUCCCUCAUGGCCAGGCCUGCUGUGCAGUACUCCAGCUGAAGAUUCUGUGAGACUCCUUAGAAGUGCAUGAAUUCUAGACCAAAUGAAUGUGAUGAAAAUCCAAACAGGGACACAAGAACAGGUUACUGGUGAAGAAACUGGUGAAGAAAACCUCAAACCAGGAAAAGCACUGGAGUUCUAAACCACCAGAAACAGUCACAUUUACUGAGAUAUGACAGGAAAGGUACAGAAGAAAAUCUUACAGAUUUUGUUCUUGAGAGAAACAUAGGAAUUGGUCUUCUGGUC
rnacentral:lncRNA from 1 species